GCAUUGGUGGUUCAGUGGUAGUAUUCUCAUCUGCCACGCUGGAGACCCGGGUCUGAUUCCUGGCCAAUGCA
rnacentral:tRNA from 1 species